rnacentral:tRNA from 1 species
GGGGUUGUGGCUCAGUGGUAGAGUGCUUGCCUAGAAUGUGCAAGGCCCUGGGUUCGAUCCUCAGCACCA